GCCAUUUGUGGAUUAUGGCUCUCACUGUGGUUCGCUGGAGUCCCAAAGAUUUAGAAAUGGCUUUAUAACCUUUUCCUGUCGUGGUUAGUCACCAUGCUGGGUGAUCCCUGCAGUAUUCUGUGCAGUUUUCCCUCUCCCUGUGUGUGUCCUCCAUUUGUCUGUAGCGUAUCUGUGUGCUCCGGCUCCCCGGGCUUCCACCUGCUGCUGAUCACCGGCGCACCUGUCAUCAAUCAUCAUCAGUCUCCACAGCAUAAAGACCGCUCUUCCUCAUCUCCAGUGCCAGAUUGUCUCCUUAUACCUACAUCCCUCUCGCCGGUGAUCACAGCCACGUCACCUCACAGAUCUCUGCCAACCUGUUUACCCGUCCUGCUCUUGCUCUGCCAGCAAACCAGCAGUCUCCCUGUUCUGCCAGCAAACCAGCGGUCUCCCUGCUCUGCCAGCUAACCAGCGGUCUCCCUGCUCUGCCAGCUAACCAGCGGUCUCCCGGCUCAGCCAGCUAGCCAGCGGUCUCCCUGCUCAGUCAGCUGACCAGCAGUCUCCCGGCUCUGCCAGUUAGUCAGCAGUCUCCCUGCUCAGUCAGCUAACCAGCGGUCUCCCAGCUCCUCUGGUGAAAACCCCGUGCCACUCGUAGUCAACUCAGACCAUUCUAUGGAGCCGUUGCCGGCCUCACAUCACCAACCUCUGUUCCGUCCAGUUUCGUUCAGGAUUUAGUUCACCGCCUUUCCAAGAGCUGUAGUGGACAGCUCUUAUUCCACCCUCGAGAAAAGACUUUUCUUUUUCUUUUCUAUCUUUUGCACUAACAUCUGUGUGAAUAAAAAUUAUCUUAACUCCUCA